rnacentral:misc_RNA from 1 species
GAUGAAGAACGUAGCGAAAUGCGAUAAGUAAUGUGAAUUGCAGAAUUCAGUGAAUCAUCGAAUCUUUGAACGCACAUUGCGCCCAUUAGUAUUCUAGUGGGCAUGCCUGUUCGAGCGUCAUUAAUUCCACUUAAGCCCUGCUUAGUGUUGGGAAUCUACUCUAGUGGUGCUACCCUGGAGCUACCCCUGAAAGGGGGCUGGCCCGGUAGCUACCCUGUAGUUCCUCAAAGAUAGUGCGCGGAGUUGCGUGGUCCUCUGAGCUUAGUAACUAUACACCUAGCUUUUGAGUGUCCCGCGGCGCCUGCCGUUUAAACCCCAUCUUUUAAUGGUUGACCUCGGAUCAGGUAGGAAUACCCGCUGAACUUAAGCAUACAAUAAGCGGAGGA